rnacentral:rRNA from 1 species
UACGGAGGGUGCAAACGUUGCUCGGAAUCAUUGGGCGUAAAGCGCACGUAGGCGGACCAUCAAGUCGGAUGUGAAAUCCCUCGGCUUAACUGAGGACGUGCAUUCGAAACUGAUGGCCUUGAGUACGAAAGAGGAUCGCGGAAUUCCCGGUGUAGAGGUGAAAUUCGUAGAUAUCGGGAGGAACACCAGUGGCGAAGGCGGCGAUCUGGGUCGAUACUGACGCUGAGGUGCGAAAGCCAGGGGAGCGAACGGG